GGCGCGGCCCGUUGCCAUGGCGAGGGCGCAGGCAGCCCCGCGGGCUCCUCCCUCAAGGCCCUCGCUCCCAGCGGCGCGCUGGAUCCAGGUUCCCCUGGGGGCUCACCGAAAGCAGAGCUGCCCUCCUGAGAUCCUGGCCUCCAGUGGCAGCGGGAGAGGCCACAGUGCUCCCCCAACCCCCCCACACCCAGUGGGGGCAUCUCCAGGCUGGAAUUGCCCUGGGGAACCUGAAGCUCUUUAGCAACUCGGAGCCCCUGCUUUCACCUCUUUGAAUAGAGCUUCCCUCAGCUGGGCUGUUGGGAAUAACCUGCCUCAACAGCCGGAGCCCUCGUGGGCAUCUGUGGGAUGAGCUGACACGGGAGGCUGUGGGCAGCACCAUUCUCCCCAUGGGUGGCAGAGACCCGGAGCCUCCCCUGCCCCAGGAGAGACUCUCUCCACACCUGCAAGACAGGAGCCUGGACCUCUGCUGGGGAAGGACCGGGGACUGAGAGGACAGUGCUCAGCCUUGUCCUUGAAGGUCUAAUGAUUUUUGGCUGAAUACUGCACAUUCUGUAAAGACUCUGGAUUCUGUUGUCUUCCUCUGAAGACUGUUGGCUCUUCUUUUAGCAGCCAUUCGAUCACUGGACCUGUGUAGGCUUGUUUUCACGCUUUGUUGGUGUCGAUCUGUGGAACGCCCGGUGUUUCCAAAGCCCCUCAACUUGCUCCCCAGGACUCCACCCCCAGCCGCUGGGCUCACCUGCACACCAUGCUCUGCUGCAGCAGCGCGGCCAGAAGACUGUCCCCCGGGGCUGGCAUGCGUGGGCCCACCAGAGCUCCCUCCCCGUCCACCUUACCCUCUCCCCACUGGAGCGGCUGCUGCCGUCUUGGGUCCAGUGCCAGCGCUCUUUAUGGAAUAGGGAUGGCCUGCUAUUUGCCGCUUCUCCACGAUUAUCUGAAGGAAUUUAAACUUACAGAAAAGUUGCUGGAGUCGUACCAAGGACACUGCCUCGUGCCCUCCGUCCACACGCGCCGCUUCUUCCUCUUUGCUCCCUUGCCUUCCCCAUCCUCUUUCUCUGCGUGUGUCUGGUUAUAUUCUUUGUUCUGAACUGUUUGAGAAAAGGUUGCAUAAAUC
rnacentral:lncRNA from 1 species